UGGGAGCGUGGCGGAAUGGUAGACGCAACGGACUUGAAAAUCCGUUGAUAUUUUUAAUCGUGAGGGUUCAAGUCCCUCCGCUCCCA
rnacentral:tRNA from 7 species